rnacentral:rRNA from 1 species
AUAGAUACCCAGGUAGUCCACGCCGUAAACGAUGAGUGCUAGGUGUUGGGGGGUUCCACCCUCAGUGCUGACGUUAACACAUUAAGCACUCCGCCUGGGGAGUACGACCGCAAGGUUGAAACUUAAAGGAAUUGACGGGGGCCCGCACAAGCAGUGGAGCAUGUGGUUUAAUUCGAAGCAACGCGAAGAACCUUACCAGGUCUUGACAUCCUUCGCCACUUCCAGAGAUGGAAGGUUCCCCUUCGGGGGACGAAGUGACAGGUGGUGCAUGGUUGUCGUCAGCUCGUGUCGUGAGAUGUUGGGUUAAGUCCCGCAACGAGCGCAACCCUUGAUCUUAGUUGCCAGCAUUCAGUUGGGCACUCUAAGGUGACUGCCGGUGACAAACCGGAGGAAGGUGGGGAUGACGUCAAAUCAUCAUGCCCCUUAUGACCUGGGCUACACACGUGCUACAAUGGAUGGUACAAAGGGCAGCAAAACCGCGAGGUUGAGCGAAUCCCAUAAAGCCAUUCUCAGUUCGGAUUGCAGGCUGCAACG